AUGAACGCUGGCGGCGUGCCUAAUACAUGCAAGUCGAGCGAACAGACGAGGAGCUUGCUCCUCUGACGUUAGCGGCGGACGGGUGAGUAACACGUGGAUAACCUACCUAUAAGACUGGGAUAACUUCGGGAAACCGGAGCUAAUACCGGAUAAUAUAUUGAACCGCAUGGUUCAAUAGUGAAAGACGGUUUUGCUGUCACUUAUAGAUGGAUCCGCGCCGCAUUAGCUAGUUGGUAAGGUAACGGCUUACCAUGGCAACGAUGCGUAGCCGACCUGAGAGGGUGAUCGGCCACACUGGAACUGAGACACGGUCCAGACUCCUACGGGAGGCAGCAGUAGGGAAUCUUCCGCAAUGGGCGAAAGCCUGACGGAGCAACGCCGCGUGAGUGAUGAAGGUCUUCGGAUCGUAAAACUCUGUUAUUAGGGAAGAACAAAUGUGUAAGUAACUAUGCACGUCUUGACGGUACCUAAUCAGAAAGCCACGGCUAACUACGUG
rnacentral:rRNA from 1 species